CGUAUCUGGCGACCUACUACCUACGCAUGCACCUAGCGCGUACUCGCCUAUGGGGCGAUGUGCUCAUACCCCGUGACCCAGCUGCCACAUCCGCCCGAACGAGACACAAUUCGAAAUGUGAACCCCCUCCUGCAGACGCAGCCUCGUCGCCAGGAAUCAGAUCGACCCUCCAUCCACAUAGCACCCGGAUCUACAGAUUUCUUCUUGAUUUGACCAAUGGAUCUUGGUGCAGAGUUAUUCACAUGGAUCUCCGGUUCAGCUUCUGUUCCCAGCCGUUCACUCCCGAGGGCUUCCCAGAUGUGGGAUUGCUAGAGAAGGAGGAGGAUGAUAUGCUAGAGGAGGAGGAGGACGACGAGUGCAUUCCUCCAAAUCUCCAGAGGUAUUCACCUUCCUCAAGCCAAGAUGUUGAGAAACAUGGUGUUACCGAUUCUGGAUCUCGAGUUCCUGAGGCCACGCAAGAUUUUUCCUACGUCCCAGAUAUUGACAACAUCGACAGCCACAGAGAGCCCUCAUCUAAUCGCAACGCACUCCAGAUCCGUGGCCUAAUAGUUAACAUCUCCAAUAUACGUAGGUUCCGACCCCCACUAGUAUCGUGGCAUUGCUAGAGGAAGGGGAGGAGGACGAUGAGUGCGGGGAUGGAGGGAAAUAUGGUGUUACCGAUUCUCCUUCCUCAAGUUUUGCAUCUCAAGUUCAUGAGGCCAUGGAAGAUUUUUUUUCAAUGUCCCAGAUAUUGAUAACACCGACAGUCACAGAGAGGCCCCGUCUAAAUCGCAGCGCACUCCAACUCCGUGGCCUCAAAGUAAAGUUGUUGGCGUGAUGAAGAUUUGAGGAUUCUGGGCAGCCCAAAAUUAGAACGGGUCCGACUUGGCAAGAUACCCGACCGCCGCGCCUUAUUAUCAGGAAGGAAAAGUGCUUUGGAGAUGGCCAUGAGAAAUUACGCAGAUCAGGCAAAGCCUUCAAUCUCUCGUGCGGUGUCCGUGGACAGCUUAUGUUCAUUACCCUUGGAGUGCGCCCCAGAUCAGAGAUCGCCAGAGGAGGAAGACGGCGGCAAGUGUUCCUCCACGUCGCUUCUCCUUCCUCAAGCCAAGAUGGAGAGAAAUCUUCUGCUAGCGACGCAGAAUCUGAAGUUCCGAAGGCCAUGCAAGACUUCUGUCCUUCCAACUCCGUGGCUGGGAAGGGGUGGCUUGGGUUACAAGAUCAUGCCGCAACCGAACUGCAUGACCAAGAUAUGCCUGUCAUAACAGGAGCAACUAUUCUAUCAAGCUCAAUGAAUGUAGUACCAUGCAAAAGUGAUCGAAGCAGGCCAAUGAACGCAAGAGCAAAGCUAGGUUAUGAGAAUGUCAGCAAGCCAAGAUCAAAGUUUUGUUCUUUUUGCAGAGGUAAGGGCCACACAGCAUCCUGAUACCCCUCAAAGGGAGGUGUACCAAAGACACAAAGGAAAGUCCCAAAGUGUACUAAGUGCGGCCUUGCAGGCCAUGAGAGAAUUUCGUACUCGAUAAGAAUGUUCAUUUUGUUCUCGAAAGAUGAAAUUGGUGUUAGGAAAGAUGUUGUAGGCUUUCUUUUGUUGUGUUGUUUCGCCAGAUCAAAUUGGUGUUGUAGGCUUUCUUUUGUUGUCGGAAAUUAGGUUCAUUUUGUGACCAAGUAGUGAAUAUGUAAACUCGGAAAUGCUAUGAGGAUGGUUAAAGUUAGCCGUGGUACUUAUCUCAGUACAAGUGCAACUCAAAUUUAACCUUUG